GGUUCCUUUCCCAGGGACUCGGGCCGUGUGUCAGCACGAGGCAGGCUCCAGAAAUUAUUGAUUCCCUCUCCAUAAGGUUUGCAUUUCCAAGGAAGAGAAGGAUGCAUCGAAUCUCCUCGGGAAAGAGUUGGUGACAUCUCUUCAUCAUGGGGGUCCCCAGAUUUGCAGGAUCAAGUCCUUGAAGUCCCAGAGAAAGUGAUGCUUUCAGCAAGGAGGGAAACGAUCCCGGAGCAGGAGCAGACAGGCCAGAGCACGCUUCCCUCACCCACCGGAGCCUGGCGGGACGAUCCAGUUUCGGGAUUAGGCAACGGCCCGGGAAGCCAGGGGCCGGGCAGGCUGGGAGGGGACGCAGGAGGUGACGGACAGCCGGGCCAGCCCGGCCCUGCCACCUCCCUGUCACCUGCAGCGCGUGGGACGGGACAGGGCCCGG